GCCGGCGUGGUGAAACUGGCAGACGCGCAAGAUUCAAAAUCUUGUGAGGUUUACACCUCGUGUCGGUUCGAGUCCGACCGCCGGCA
rnacentral:tRNA from 1 species